AUUGAACGCUGGCGGCAGGCCUAACACAUGCAAGUCGAGCGAGCGGCGGACGGGUGAGUAAUGUAUGGGGACUGCCUGAUAGAGGGGGAUAACUACUGGAAACGGUGGCUAAUACCGCAUACUAUCGGAUAACCCAUAUGGGAUUAGCUAGUAGGUGGGGUAAAGGCUCACCUAGGCGACGAUCGCUAGCUGGUCUGAGAGGAUGAUCAGCCACACUGGAACUUAGACACGGCCCAGACUCCGACGGAGGCAGCAGGGGGGAAUAUUGGACAAUGGGCGCAAGCCUGAUGCAGCCAUGCCGCGUGUAUGAAGAAGGCCUUAGGGUUGUAAAGUACUUUCAGCGGGGAGGCGUUACCCGCAGAAGAAGCACCGGCUAACUCCGUGCCAGCAGCCGCGGUAAUUC
rnacentral:rRNA from 1 species